rnacentral:lncRNA from 1 species
GAGUCGUGAUGAAUUGCAGACAGACAUUCCCAGCCAAUUCUAAUCCUACAAGGCCCUCUUGGCUCCCCUUAUCCUCCAGGGACCUGGAAGUAAAGGAUGAGAAGAGUUAGAAUAAUUUAAAAGGCAGAAUUAUCCACGGACUUGUGCACACAUAUCUUUGAGACUUACAGUCAUCGCUACGUUUGCACAGAUUGGCUGCAGCACUACUUCAUGGUGGACUAAUGUUUUAGGUUGAUUUAUUGGAACAGAUUGGU